rnacentral:lncRNA from 1 species
UGCACCACACGCACCACACCACACACACACACAUACACACACACGAGCAGAGCAAGGGACAGCCAUGUUGUGUGAUCUGGGAGGGUGGCUCAUCCUCUCUGAGUUGUUUAUAAACCGGGCGGGACCCAGGCCUGCCAAUCAAAGGCCUGAUCUGAAUGCUCUUAUUGGUUCAGAGAUGGACAUGUGACCCUCUCUUGGCCAAUCAGAGGCUUUCCUGCUGGAAGGGCUGCUGGAAGCCAUCUUCGCACGGUUCUUCCCUUGGCUUUAGAGCCCCGAAGCGCUCUUUGACUUGAGCUGCUUUGCAUUCUCUCUGUCCUGCCAUCGAGAAAGUUCUGAGCGGCUCAGAAGUAAUACUGACACUAUCAACGGAGGGGGACUGCAGUUUCGCUGGUGGCCCCACAGCCCCCUGCCUCCAGCCAGGGGACAAAGAACAGGAGGGAUCCAGAGGGCUGCCUGCACCUGCACCUCCCGCUCCUGCUGUGCCCUGAUCCCAUGUGCUGGGUGAACUGGGUUCUUCCGAGCCCUCCAGCCCUGGAUGCUAACCCCAGAGCUGCAAGGUGAGGGGCACCUACGCCGGCAGCCAUUCCCCAUGGGAGGGGCAGUGCUGGAGGUGCCCUGGGUGACCAGGACGGGCCGCCGCCCCUCUGCUGGCCUUAGUGCCCUUGUCUGUGAAAUGGGGCGAGCAGUUCCUCUCUCAGAGCUGCUGCGAGGACUGAGUCUCUCUGAGCUCAGGAUUUUCCUCUCUCUGAGCUCCAAAACCACGGGCAAAUCACACCCUCUCACUCUCAGCUUCCUGAUCUACAAGACAGGGAUGGUGAUAGAGUACUCAACUCCUAGGGCAGUUGUGGGGCAUGUGAAGCAUUCAGCCCAGGGUCUGGCACCCUGAAAGGGCCAAACCUGUGUGAGCCACAGUUUUAUGGUUGAUCAUCAAUGCCUGUCUAAGAAAGCCCCAUUCAGCUUGAACCCAGCUCUCCAGGAAGAGCUCACUGACACCCUCCUCACACACCCCAAUCGGCCGUCUUUAUUCAUCCCCAAAAGUGAUGUACAAGGAAUGAGUCUUUGGGGGUGUGUCCGUCAUCACCCACUGGGGCUGCUUGUGUCUCCAGCUAUCCCUCCGAGGAAUUCUGCCCCAGACAGCAGAGAGAUGGGGGGCAGGGGACACAUGGCCAUGAGGACAGAGAGCCCUGAGAGGGACUGGGGAAUCGAGACAUCGUUUUCAAAUAAUUGCAGCAAUCAAGAGAGACUGUACAUCCCAUCCCAGACAAAGGGAGACCUAAAAUGAGAGAAUGGAGCUGGGCGCAGUGGUUCACGCCUG